CGGCAUUCUGAAGUCAUGUGAUAUUUAUUACCUUUGAAUCUCAAUGCUAUAAAACAGUCAUAUCACUAGUAAAAGCAACUUCCUUACAAAUAAGGAAGAGAGCUACUAAAAUAAAUUCUUAUAAAAAGCUGACAGUCGAUCCGUGCUUCAUACAGUCAGAGAAAGCAGAAAGAGCCAUGAGAUCCAGUCUGCUCACAGCCCUAAUUUUCACCCUGGUUACAGGUACGUUAAACAGGACAGUAAGAAUUAUCCUUAGAUUAGAAUUAGCCUAAUCUAGCAGAUAACCCAAAUGGUUAAUUCUCCCCUCUCCCCUUUACUGCAUCCAGUCCUCCCCUUAGUGCCCCUUGUGUGUGAUUAACCUUCCAAUUGUCACUUUUUAUUAUAAAUAUUUAGUACAACGUAUUUUAGUCUUCGUACAUAAAAGGUGAACUCUAUAUUUUUAUACAAUGCGUAUCUCAAAAUGUAAAAAUAAAAUAUUACACUUACAGUGACAUCAUUUCAGAAAAGAAAAUUUGAAACUUGCAUUUGCAAGGCUUAUUUACUAAAUUAUGACUUUGUUGGGGAAUUCAAAGCGAAUUCAAAUCAAAUUUCAUAUAUUGGGCCAUAAUAGAAAUAUUGCAAAAAUCUUUACAUCAUUGGGAAUAAUUUUAGUUUUAAGCACAACUAAAAUUAAGAAACAAUUAAUUGUGUCUUUUUUAUUUUAUAAAGGUAAAUAUUUUAGAAUACACUUCAAAGAAGUGUCCUCCCAGCUUGCAUAUAAAUAAUUGAAAUUGCAGAAUGGAUGAAGCUGGGUGGAGAAAUUAAACACCAAAUUAAAGCAGCUAUUAAAAUCAAUUAAACAUUGUAAAUAAAUUUAAAAAACCAUUAGCGCUAACCAGUUUUAAAAAGAAUGCAUUAAACAGAGUUACACUGACUUACUCAUUUCAGCUAUAUUAGCUACAUAACAUUCUGUGGAAUUUCAAGGGAUCAUUUAUUGAAGAACAGUUACUUUAUCGUAUUUUAUCCUUAUGUUUACGUAUCACAUAUAAUUAACUAAUGAAUAAUUGUGAGGAUUAAAAAUAAAAUUAAUUGGAAAAAUCCACACCUCGCUAUCCUGCAAAUGACCCAGAUGACUGUGUCCCUCUUAGCUCCCUGUCAAUCAUAGUUAUAAUCUAUGUUCUUCGCACAUGUCAGCCAGCCAACAAUGUCAUAGCCAGCGGUAGAUUAGCUUUUUUUAAUCAUCUACCCAGUCUGACCGGAAACUGCUCUCUGCUCCCAAAUUGCUGUCAGACUGGGUAAAGGAUAAUAUCAUUCUCCUCAAGGCCAUCCUACACGGACUGACUGGCAGGAGGUGAGAUUCUUGCCCCCUCCCCCACUGGUCAAAUGAAUAUUGCGCCAGGUGACACUCAGAAUAUAGGACGCAGGCAGUUUUUUACCCAAAAUUCAGGGGUAAAAAUACUGCGUUCUAUAUUCCUAAAAAUAUGGUAGUUAAAACAAAAUGACAUGGCCAUGAACAUACGUGUUCAAUUUUUUUCAUAUAUUUUCAACAGGGAUGGUAUUUGCUGCACCAGAAGGGCUAAUUUCACAGGAGGUAAGUGAUUACCAAAUAUCUGUAAUGUUAAUAUAUCAUUUAGACAAUCACUUUAGUUGAGAAAUAUGUGUAGAGUUUAGAAGAUAGACAUAUCCUGGAGUCAGUCUAGAGCAGGGGUGCCCCAAAGGUAGAUCCCCAGAUGUUUUAAAAAUACAGCUUCCAUGAUGCUGUCAUGCUAAGCAUUUUUAAAGAAAUACAUAGCAGCGUGGGAGUUGUAGUUCUACAACAUCUGGGGAUCUACCCUCUGGUCUAGAUUGUUCAGGUGCCAAGGAGGAAGAAAUAAACCGAAUUCUUAUAAAAUGAUCAAAUAUUGAUUUAAGCAUCAUUAUUAUAAAAUGAUCAAAUAUUGAUUUUAAGAUUUGGUUAAUCGUAUUUUAUUCUAUAAUAUAUUAUAUUGGCAAAAUAUGUAACACAUUAGAAUAGCUCACAAGAGAUCCCAACAUGAUCUGUAUACUAUCAUUAAGACAUCGGUGCCAUCUGUUCAUUUUCUGUGACUUUAUUUCUACCUAUUGGGGUAAUUUGUUUUUUAGCGUUGAUACCUAAUAGUCAUGAAAAUAGUUUUUCAGAGUAGAUAUCCGAUAAUUGUGGAUUCUUUAUCCACUGGUAUACUUUAUUUUAUUUUUUACUCCUCCUUGUUUCUAAAGAUAAUGGGGGAAAAUACUACACGAAAAUAGACUACAUAAUAGAUCAUUUUCCUUAGAUACCAUUUAUUGCCUAAAGGCACUAUGUAAUGCCUUUUUUGGUGAUUAUUUUUCUAUUGAUAGCUAAGUAAGGGUAUUACAGAACCCUUAUAUAUAAUAUGCAGCUAUAUGCUUGAUUUAUAUUUGUACUUCUAAUUUUAUAUAAAUCAAAUGCAGCAAAAUUCUUUAUAUAAAUUUGCACUUUUAAUUUAAUAUAUAUAUAUAAAAAGUAGCGAUAUUCUUUAUAUAAACUUCCACUUUUCAUUCAAUAUAUAUAAAAUGUAGCAAUAUUCGUUACUUGCACUGUGCAACGUAUAUAUAAUAGCAUCCCAUUAUCUGUUGGGAUGUGAUAGAUCAGUCUGCAUUCUAUUCAUACAUCAAUAUCUAUCCAUUAAUUUAUCUUUAUUCAUCCUUCCAUCCAUCCAUCACUUUAGAUAGCUCUAUUAAUCUAUCCAUCGAUCUAUCAAGCUAUCACUAUGGAGUCUGUUCAUUAAAUACCAAACUGCAGUGAAUUAAAAAUCAGAUUGCAAGAUAUUCUGAGCCGUGAGGAGGGCAGUGUCGGAGAAGUGGAGGUCUGGAAAGUUUCCAACCAUGGCAGCAAUUGUCCAUAAAAUAUCAGAUAAUAUGCUCAUGGACAAGCAAACAGCCAUGGUCUGUGGAUUCCUUACAUGAUACAGAUUGGCAUCGUCACUGUGGACUGAGUAUCUGGUUUAACAGACCAAUAUGAAGGAAUCUGCAGUAUUUUUACUGUCUUAAUUCAAUUUUGUCUCCAAUUCUCUUCCAUUUUCUUAUUUUCUUCUCCCCUGUAGCAGUGGACACUCUAACAUGCAUGUAUCCCAUUGGGCAUUUACCAACUGCGAGCUGAGUGACAGAUCAACUCUCCAAGUCUGCGUGCCCAGCUCCCAGGCACAUUGCAGCCCCUCACCACCUAGGCAUCCCACAACAGCUCUGAUUAAGGGGUUAUUAAUGGACAUACAGCUGACACUGGAUGUAGAUAUAAUGUAGCGGCCUUAAGAACCAAUUCCAAACUGCAGCCUCUAGUGUUGCUAUUUGACAGCUAAUAGAGGCAUUGGAAGGAAAAAAAAGAAAACUACUGUUUCUCAAAGAAAAUGCCCCUCUUUUAAAGUUAAUACUGCAGGGGCAGCAUUUUUGCUCUGAAACCACUUUAAGCUGAGGUGGUUUUGAUGCUUAGAAUGAUCAUUAAAAGUGUGUGGGGUAUCUGUAAGUAGGAGGAAGUAAAGGUGUGAAGCUAAAAUCCCUUUAGGAAUUAACUGAAUACGAAAAGGGUUAUUCUUUGGCCUUAAAUUUGGAAUUCGCUUCGGUGAAUAUCUUUGUAAAAGGUGGGGAAAGACAAUAUGGCUGGAUGAGAGAAUAGAAAAAUAAUCUUUCAAGGGUGACAUGAACCAGUCUUGGUGGAGGGCUCAUAAAAAUGACAGGAUGCCCACCAUCAUUGCCCACCAUGUACUGAAAGGUGUUAACGAUAGUUAAUCUGAUUUUUUUUAGCCCUGCACCAUGUAUAACCCACCCUAUCUCUGUUCAGCCUGUGUGUUCCAGGUAUUUGAAUACGUAUUGUCCCCGAGAGUACACCCCGGUAUGUGGAACAGAUGGAUACACCUAUGGAAGUGAAUGUCAUUUGUGCUGGGAAAAUAAGUAAGGGAAAUGUCUACCAAUAAUAUAGUGUCUUUGGUUUUACUCCACAGUGAGAUUUAGAAAUUCAAAAUUUCUACUACUAAUUUCUAAGACCAACUUAAAAAAAAUAAACCAAAUAGAAUUUAUUUUAUUUAUUUUUUAAUGUCUGUAAAAAUUAUGUCAUGUAGUAUUUAUGCUCAUAAUUUUUUUAUUUAUUUUUUAUUACACAUACACAUUGCCAAUUAAAGGGAAACUGUCACUGCUCUCUCUAUACUGACUGCCAGGUGUAAAGGGCGGAGCUUAUAACAAUGAUUGACAGGGAGCUAAGAUGGAGCUUAUAACAAUGAUUGACAGGGAGCUAAGAUGGAGGUGGCUCUCUCUAUGCUGACUGCCAGGUGUAAAGGGCGGAGCUUAUAACAAUGAUUGACAGGGAGCUAAGAUGGAGGUGGCUCUCUCUAUGCUGACUGCAGAUGGAGGUGGCUCUCUCUUUACUGACUGCCAGGUGUAAAGGGCGGAGCUUAUAACAAUGAUUGACAGGGAGCUAAGAUGGAGGUGGCGCUCUCUAUACUGAUUGCCAGGUGUAAAGGGCGGAGCUUAUAACAAUGAUUGACAGGGAGCUAAGAUGGAGGCGGCUCUCUCUAUACUGACUGCCAGGUAUAAAGGGCGGAGCUUAUAACAAUGAUUGACAGGGAGCUAAGAUGGAGGUGGCUCUCUCUAUACUGACUGCCAGGUGUAAAGGGCGGAGCUUAUAACAAUGAUUGACAGGGAGCUAAGAUGGAGGCUGCUCUCUCUAUACUGACUGCCAGGUGUAAAGGGCGGAGCUUAUAACAAUGAUUGACAGGGAGCUAAGAUGGAGGCGGCUCUCUCUAUACUGACUGCCAGGUGUAAAGGGCGGAGCUUAUAACAAUGAUUGACAGGGAGCUAAGAUGGAGGCGGCUCUCUCUAUACUGACUGCCAGGUGUAAUGGGCGGAGCUUAUAACAAUGAUUGACAGGGAGCUAAGAUGGAGGCGGCUCUCUAUACUGACUGCCAGGUGUAAAGGGCGGGGCUUAUAACAAUGAUUGACAGGGAGCUAAGAUGGAGGUGGCUCUCUCUAUACUGAAUGACAGGUGUAAAGGGCGGAGUUUAUAACAAUGACUGACAGAGAGCUAAGAUGUCGGCGGCUCUCUCUAUACUGACUGCCAGGUGUAAAGGGCGGAGCUUAUAACAAUGAUUGACAGGGAGCUAUGAUGGAGGGGGCUCUCUCUAUACUGACUGCCAGGUGUAAAGGGCGGAGCUUAUAACAAUGAUUGACAGGGAGCUAUGAUGGAGGUGGCUCUCUCUAUACUGACUGCCAGGUGUAAAGGGCGGAGCUUAUAACAAUGAUUGACCGGGAGCUAAGAUGGAGAUGGCUCUCUCUAUACUGACUGCCAGGUGUAAAGGGCGGAGCUUAUAACAAUGAUUGACAGGGAGCUAAGAUGGAGGUGGCUCUCUCUAUACUGACUGCCAGGUGUAAAGGGCGGAGCUUAUAACAAUGAUUGACAGGGAGCUAAGAUGGAGGAGGCUCUCUCUAUACUGACUGCCAGGUGUAAAGGGCGGAGCUUAUAACAAUGACUGACAGGGAGCUAAGAUGGAGGCGGCGCUCUCUAUACUGACUGCCAGGUGUAAAGCGCGGAGCUUAUAACAAUGACUGACAGGGAGCUAAGAUGGAGGCGGCGCUCUCUAUACUGACUGCCAGGUGUAAAGGGCGGAGCUUAUAACAAUGAUUGACAGGGAGCUAAGAUGGAGGUGGCUCUCUAUACUGACUGUCAGGUGUAAUGGGCGGAGCUUAUAACAAUGAUUGACAGGGAGCUAAGAUAGAGGUGGCUCUCUAUACUGACUGCCAGGUGUAAUGGGCGGAGCUUAUAACAAUGACUGACAGGAGCUAAGAUGGAGGCGGCUCUCUCUAUACUGACUGCCAAGUGUAAAGGGCAGAGCUUAUAACAAUGAUUGACAGGGAGCUAAGAUGGAGGCACACGGGUACAAGAUAAGGAUGUGUGGAUUUUUACAUUUAAUUUGACUUUUCACAAAUCACAAAUACAUACUUAGUAAAUACAGGGAUAAGAAAACAUUACAUUGAUUUUUUUUCUGAAGUGACCAUUCUUUUUUAACUAGUUCUGGUAUGAUAUAGGUCAUUUUUAGGAUUGUGGUGAGAAGCUGGAAUAAUUAUUAUUAUUUUUUAAUUCUUUAUUUUUUAUGUGCAGCAAGAUAACAUGGAUAGUGUACAUAUUCAAGAGUAUAAAUCACAUACGGUUAUCCAGCAAACAAUACAAGGAAACUGCACAUUUAAAAAAAAAUUUAACACGAAAAUUAUAACAAAAGUUACUCAAUGCAUAGAAAUUGCCAUAUAGCUAAAGAGUGGGUCAAGAUAUAUGCAUUGGAUGUUUAGACAGGCUAUAGUAGGUAUAAACAGACUUGUUACAGAUAUACUAUUGGAGUAUAGUAAUUAAAUUUACCACCCCUGGUUAUAGAACAUUGAAGUGCCACAGCACUCCCAAACAGAGAGAAAAUAAGGAAAAUGAAAACUAGAUGCAUGGCUUUAAAACAUGGGUUAAGUGUGAACGCAGGCAGAAGUCCUGUGAGCAUAUUCAGCCAACUCCCUUAGGUGGCAAUGCUGUUACUCCAUCAGGAAAAACAUCAUUCAGAGACAGGGUGUCCAUCCAGCCCCGGGCCUCCAGGAGUGCCGGUAUCUGUGUACCACAGACUCUGGUUCUUCUUGCGACCAAGUCUAUCCCCUUCAGGGAGAGGUCAGAGGAUUUAGGGGCCAAUCGCCGCCUGCAGGGAUUCCUCCGCCUGUGUGCGCGAUGCUGGGAGGUCAUGCCUCUGGUGGCCCUUAACCCCGGUAGAUGAGUAUGGGGUUUUGUUAGCCGCUUUCUAGUUGCGUUAUCCUGAGGAGGCCUUUCUGCCUCUGGGUGGUUGGUUCCCUAUUGGUUGGUUCCCUAGUCUGAUCUUGCUGGCUGUGUUGUGGGCAUGAAGGUUGAGAACUGUUGAAAGAGCUCAUCGAGCCACAUCAGGAAGAGAGUGGAGUGUCUCCUUUGUUGAACUCACACCAUGUGGGUCAGAGUGGAAGACAGUCGCCAUCUUUAGAUGCCUGAGGUUGAAUCUGAAUCUGCUCUGUUGGAGCGGUGAGGCUGGAUCUAACAGCUUUAGAUAGCCCAGGGGGGACCGGGAUAAUCCCCACAGGUCUGAGGGGGGAAAGUGGGGUUAGGAGUGCAAUGGAUCUGGGCCUCGAGUAAAAGCACGAGGAGAUCGGCCACCUUUCCCCAGCUUCACUCACGGUAGGCCGCAGCAGGCUUGCCCAAGCAUCCGCUGUCGGAGAUUCUCAGAAAAGGUUUCAUUCAGCGUGCCCGGGAGCCCCUGACCCGGGAAAUAUUGUAUGGUCAGCGUGAGAGUGUGAUGUUAGGAAUUUAGGAUUAAUACUUCCAAGUCUGCUUAUGUUGCAGGAGCUCAGACACCAAACAUCUCCCCAGCUUGAAGGUCAGGCUCCUCCCCCUGAAACUGGAAUAAUUUUACUUUUUGAAAUCCACUGUCAAUUGUUUUUACUUUUCUGUUCCGUAUAGUACUAAUGAACAAACACACAAACAAACUAAACAAACAAACAAAAAAAUAGUCCAAGCUGUAUGUCCAAGCUGUAUUUAGCAAAUAUUUGUAGAAUUAAGGGGACAAGAAGUGAUAAGAAACUAUUUGAAUGCUUCUAAUCUAGGGACCCCCGGGUAUUACUCAGUAUUAAAGGAACACUAUAGUCACCUAAAUUACUUUAGCUAAAUAAAGCAGUUUUAGUGUAUAGAUCAUUCCCCUGAAGUCUCACUGCUCAAUUCACUGUCAUUUAGGAGUUAAAUCACUUUGUUUCUGUUUAUGCAGCCCUAGCCACACCUCCCCUGGCUAUGACUGACAGAGCCUGCAUGAAAAAAAAACUGGUUUCACUUUCAAACAGAUGUAAUUUACCUUAAAUAAUUGUAUCUCAAUCUCUAAAUUGAACUUUAAUCACAUACAGGAGGCUCUUGCAGGGUCUAUCAAGCUAUUAACAUAGCAGGGGAUAAGAAAAUCUUAAUUAAACAGAACUUGCAAUAAAGAAAGCCUAAAUAGGGCUCUCUUUACAGGAAGUGUUUAUGGAAGGCUGUGCAAGUCACAUGCAGGGAGGUGUGACUAGGGUUCAUAAACAAAGGGAUUUAACUCCUAAAUGGCAGAGGAUUGAGCAGUGAGGCUGCAGGGGCAUGUUCUAUACACCAAAACUGCGUCAUUAAGCUAAAGUUGUUCAGGUGACUAUAGUGUCUCUUUAACAUCUACCUCCUGCUGUAGUGAUCAUAGUUUAACAGAAUAAUAUACGAGGUUUAAAAAUAUAUAUAUUUACAUAAACCAGAGUAGUUUAGUAUUCUUAGUAAAUCUGUAUUCUUAUUAAAUCACAUUCUUUAAACACUCAUGGCUCACGUUACUGUGUGUGCAGAGCUUAUGGGGAACUAAUCAGAUCUUUGUAUGUAUUUUCUUUUAGUCACAGAACGGAGAAAGUCCAAAUUAGAAAAAAUGGACACUGCUGAUCGGCAGCUGAAGACGAAUGCAUAACUCCCCUACUCCCUCCGCCUGUAAUUAAAAUAAACUUUAAUUCUGCUUACUGCUGAGAAAACUGGUUGAUGAGACAAUACAUUACAUUAAGAAUUGGGAUUCUAACAGUGUUGUCUUCUUUCCAAAUCCUUGUUUUAAAAUAUAGCUUUUUAUUGGCUUUAGCGUUUAAACAAUACAUUGUGCUUAAAUGACAUAGGAAUUGCAAACCAAUAUACCCCCACACCCCACCUCUCCCCACACCCCAGAACUGCCACAACAGCCAAAAUGAAAAAGUGACACAGUUAGGAAUUUUUGGCACUUUUUCAUUUUAAUUUUCUCUUUAAUUUGCCCCACUUUUCUACUAAGGGAAAAUGCCGCACUUUACUAUAAACUAUCAGAGCCUUCACCAAUAUCACAUAACUGAAGGCUACAGCCUUCCAGAAACCAGACUCAAAGAAAAUAUGAAUGGGAGGAUAAUUUGAUUAAUUAUUCGUUCUUUUCAAGUGUUGAUAUGAGUUACUAUACUGCUAAUGAAAAUAUGAUGCUGCAAUUCUAGAGUAUACAACUAAAAAUAGGAACACAAUUAAAAUUGGGAAUUGCUACGAAUGUUUAAUAUAAAAGUCAAGAAAUGUCCAUUUAAAAUCUUCCUAUAAAUGGUUUUAUAAACAGUUGCUUAGAGUCAAGUUUAACCCUUGAUUAACAUGGUCAUAUUCUCUUUUUAUGUUAAACAGCUGUGUUUCGAAGACUGCGCAAUAUUUUGCUUUUUUUCUCUUAAAUCCUCCUACCCCAGCUAGUGCGCGAAAAGGAUCCAUUAGCGAUUUCAGUAUGCCGUGUAAAUCUUAAAUAGAGAUGUCAAAAAAAAGAUAACUUUUACAUAGAUAAAUCGAUUACUGUUUUUGCCUACUAUAUAUGCAUGGUAAUGUACAUCAAACAUAACCCAGCACAAGGGCAGGAAACAAAUAAAAUGUUAAUUUUGCUCAAUAAGCAAUAAAAUGCAUUGUAUGAUACUUAAAAUGUUACUGAAAUAUUUGUUUGUUCCCAUUUUUUUUUUUAACAAGAUGGUAUUUCUUGCUCAUUCC